CCGGCCCCGCGCGGACGCGGCCUCGAUCCCGGCCCCGACACCCCCGACCCCGGCCCUGCCCGGACGUGACCCCGACCCCAGCUCCGGCCCCGGUCCGCGCCGACCCCGACCCCAGCCCUGCCCGGACGCGACACCAGCCCCGACCCCGGCCCCGCGCGGACGCGGGCCCGACCCCGACGGCCGCCUUAGCAGCAAGACCUAGAAGCUUGGGGAUCUCGUGAGACACUGACCUGUGGCGUCAGUCUGGGCCUUAGUGUAACCCUGUCACAUGAGUGGCCUCAUGAAGGAGACUAGACUAUUCACGGGCUUGGGAGGCUCGUUGACUUACCAGGAAUCCAGUGGGUCCAGGAUGAUCCAGGAGGGGAGGCUUCCUUGAGGUGUUUCAGCUCCGGACAUCAGCCCUUUUGUGCCCUCGAGGGUCAGGACAGCACGCGUGUUAUCCCGGGAUCGGUUCCUGCAUCCACUGUCUUUCUGGCUCCAAACAGCCGGGCGCCUGACCUGCCGGCCAUCGCCCUCUCCCUGCUCGGGGCAGCUCCGUCCUUACCUCCCGGAACAGUCAGAGCACCUCCCUUUGCCCUUUCCCCUUCCCGCGGCUGCUGACCACAUUCCAGGUCUGUAGCAGCCACCAUGUCAGCCCGAGGACGGGGGCCACACGCCAAGGACCACGGCAGAAGGCUGACCCUGGAUGACCUCACGGACCUGCCAACACAGCCCGCGACUAUGAACUUCUGGUCUCCAGGAAGUGAAGGUCAAGCUCGUGUGUCCGUGUUACCCGAAGCCAGACUUACAGAUGGGGGCCCUCAGUGGCACCCACCCGUUUUCCUGUUCUCACCCAGACCACAGCACGGGGCCACUGCUCUCAUAAAAAACAGAAAUCACACAACUCGGAUCUCUGGUAGGACUCUGUGCGCACAGCAAAAUGGAUCUGUUGGUGCCGUCGUUCUUGGAAUUACUGAAUUUUGAGUGUUGUUGCCGAGGAGGUGGGGUGGGUGGGGUGGAGCUGGGCUUCCAUAAAUGCACAGAAGGAUCUUUGUUUAAAUGUUCAAUUUAUUU